rnacentral:lncRNA from 1 species
CAGCCUCUUUCAUGAAGAUUCCAUCUGACUCUUCACACACACACACACACACACACGCACACACACAGAGAGAGAGAGAGCUAAUCCGCCAAAAGGCGGGAGGGAAUUACUUGGAUGGCGGAGCUUGCUCAGCCACCAACAAAGAGGCACUUUUUGGUUGGCUUUGUCUGAAUCUGGCCUUCAUCUCUGUUUCUAGGGCAACCAGGAAGUUCACCUCCUGGCCCGGAUGUAGCAAAGGAUGCAGCCGGAGAGCAGGGGAGGGGGAAUGGCAGAGAGAGAAACUGUUCAGCCAGCCUCCAGCUGAAUAGUGUUGGGGGGGGGGAGCUGUGGGUUAAAUUGUCAUAAGAGGACUCUGAUGGGUUUUAAGAAAUCUCUCUUCACACUCAAAAUCUCCCUCCCCACCUCGUUAAAUUCCUUGAAGACUCUCAAACCAACUUCCUCCAGCUUGCCUUUGCUUCACAUUUGCACCCAAAUUGGACUUAUCCAAACUUGCCUUGUGGAUAUAUGUGUGUGUGCAUGCGUGCCUGACAUGGAACAAACAGGCCUUUGUUCGGCAGAGAUCCACUGGCUUUGUCAGUUAUCUCAAAAGGCGAGGCUGUCCCUUUAAUGAUCAUCUCCACUCAGACCUUAGGAAGGAAGUUCCACACAUGUUCAUUGCAGAGAGCCAGCCAGUCACUGUGCCAAACUAGAGCCACAUGCGCAUCAGCGAGGAAAAGGAGAGCAGGAUGCGAUGUGAAUGGGAACCAGGAAAAAUCAGCCUCACUGGCUGAAUACACAAGGCACUGGCACACUUUUUUUUUUCAUCUGCUGAAUUCUGAAUAAAUUACUGUGAAAAUGUUUAGGCUGACAAGAGAUCAAGAAAAGUAGGAGAGGCACAAUGUUCUCAGUAGCUAAGAACGGAUCCAUAACCAAGAGUAGAGGAUAAGGAGGAGGAACCAUGGGGAGGAAGAACAAACAAUCUGGAUAUGAAUGCCUUGACUCCACACACCCAGGAUCUUUGAGCUGUGUUCCCUUUGGUUUCUCGCUUUCGCCAAAACACUUCCAAAGUUUCUAACUGAAUGAUGAGUGUUACGGACAUUCUCCGUGCCGUUGCUGCUGUUCAAAUAAAGCCAGUGCUCUAGCACGCAGUAGAUUUUGGAUUCAGGUAGUCCAGCCUUUCUCAGGCAUGCGAGACAUAACACAGACCUGCCUGCAGUGCGCACUGAAGGAUUCUGGUCUCUGCACAUGGUAAGCAGCAGCACAUUACAGCCAAAGAUGGUUUCUCUGGGCCUUGGCCAUUCCAGUUCGUGUCAUGAUCUUACAUGUGGUUUACAGAUGUUAGAUAGCAUUGUUGUGGAGUAUGGAACACUGUUAGAAACUGCUCUGGCUUGCUCCAGAGGCAGCCACAUCUACACUUGCAUAAUCUCUGGAGAUACUCUUUUUUUGGUUCUAAGUCUAAGAGUUGGUGUAGCAUACCGGAGCCAGUCAGUCUCUGGUUCAAAUCUCACCAACACCACGAAUUUACCAGCAGAGCAAUCCUACACUUGACUUGCACAUUCUGGACUGGGACAGGGCCACAACUAAAUCCAAUUGCUCUGGUAAAGCAAAAUGUUAUAUAGUACUGCUACUUUUGUGCUGGUAGGAAACUGCCACUUGACAUGAGCAAAAAGGGAUUGAGCUUGGGGGAGGACUUCAGGGGAGGAUCAGAGUGCCACUCCCUACAUAUUACUGGAAUUAUUCCAUGACCUAAGCUUAAAGCUGGAUCUCUAAUUGUACACAUCAGGAGUGGCCCUUAAGUGGCUCAGGAACGCAAUAGCUCAAGGACCACCUCUCCCCAUAUAAACCGCCCUGGACUCUGCAUUCAUCAUAUGAGGCCCAUCUUCAUGUCUCCUCCACAUGACAUCCAGAAGGUGUCAACAUGAGAACGGGCCUUCUCUGCAGUGGCUCCUCACUUGUGGAAUGCUCUCCCCAAGGAGGCUCGCCUGGCGCCUUCCUUAUAUAUAUAUAUUAGGUGCUAGGCAAAAAUGUCCCUUUUCAACCAGGCCUUGGGCUGAUUAAUAUUCUAUAAGCUUUCAAAUGUGUUUGUGGGAGGGGUGGUUAUUGUUUUGCUGUCUCUGUUUUAACUACUCAUUUGUGCUUUUGUCUUGCAUUUCUAGCUUGUGAACUGCCCUGAGAUCUUUUGAUGAAGGGUGGUAUAGAAAUAAAUAAAUGUCAACCAAUUGGGGGGGGGGGUCCAGGAAGCUAGGCUGAGGGGUGCAGACCAAAAGAGCACUUGACACCCUCUCAAGUGCUCACCAGCAAACUUGGAGUGAGCAGCAAAGCAGCCGCAGGAACCACCUGUUGUGAUGACUCAUUAACACCCCAGCAUUUCACUUUGUCUUCCCACAGCAGUUCAGAAUGUGCAGAGGUGGGUUAUUCCCCACCCCUAGUGCCAUGUGAGACCUAAAAGACCAGCAGCAGUGGAAAAGCAACUGCUCCUGUGUAGGAUUGCCUCCUGCUUUCUGUUCUUUCAUUUUUAAACCCAGGCUCCCUAGUCCCUCCAACAGAUGGUCAUGUUAAGUAGUCCAGCAGGACCUCCAGGUCCUAUGCAUGUAGUUCUUCCUCAAGCAUAGGAGGGCAAGUACAAGGGCGGGAAACCUUUUGCUGCCUUAUGCUGUGUCCAUUGCUCCAUCUAGCUCAGUCUGGUCCAGGACUGGCUGGUGCCCAUUGGGGCUGAUGGAAUUGACGGCAGGGAGGCCAACACUAGGUGGAAGCAAAGCCAAUGACUGGUGGAAUUCUACUUUCCCCCUGCUCCUCUCCCCAGCUGAUUUCUACUAGGCCAACGCUGAGACUAAGGAGAAGGAAGCAGAUAACAAGGGCAUCCUUUUGGACUCAUUGUAAUUAUGAAGGCUGGUAGGCUUGAAAUAAUCAAGGUGGUGAGGCAAUGCCCCAUUUGCCCUAGUAGAUCAGUCUUCACUGGUCUUGUCUACACAGAUUGGCAGCGAUUCUCCAGGAUUUCAGACAGGGGGAUCUACUUAGGACUCAGAUAUACAGCUGCAAAUAUAAUGUCUUAAGUGUGCUUUAUGUGCAUUAUACAAAUGUGACACUAGAUGGGGCUGAUGAGGUAAUGGCAAAUUCCAUAUAUAUUUUACAACUUUUUAAAAAGCAUUUUCACAGUGUGGUUUUUUAUAUCUGUGUAGAUUCAGCCCUAGAAAGGCUAGAGAUUGAACACAAAACCUUCUGCAUACAAAGCAGAUGCUUUAUCACUGACCUACAGUCCUGCCCUUGGCUAGCUGGGCAGGGCCAGAGGCAAAAGUGUGGGGGGUAAGAGCUGUGACUGCUACUGUUGUGCUGUGGGCUACAUUCCAGUCAUGCACAAGUCAGAGGUUUCUACAAACACACACUUAUCUCUUCAUCCUCCACGCAAGCAAGCAAGAGGCAUUAUCACAGUUCGAAGACAAAUUCAGGUUGAACAGCUAAGGUGGAUUUGGUACAUUUGUGUAUCAAAGGGCUGCCAAAAGAAAUUGCACUGGAUAGCAAUUGCUUGACCCAGUGUAAUGGCAUGGUGGGGCUAUACCACUCACCUGACCUCCUUCCGGCUGGGUUGCUAUUGUAUCCUGGGAUGGGGAGGGGAGGGGUGAGGUGGUGGUAAGAUGCAAACAUGCUUUCAGGAGCAUCAAGUUUGUUCCACCAGUGCGCUUGAGUUUGCCACAGCCUCGCCCCUCCCUGUGCCAGUAUGUGCAGCGAUUCAGCCAGAGGGAGGUCAGGUCAGUGGCAUAGCCCCACCCUGUUGUCUGCUACUGCGUAUAACCUCACUGCAAACAAAUCAAAACGAAUGUUCUGUAAGCAGCUGAUAGCCUAUAACCACCCCACAAACUUUAUGCAAACAAAUCAGGAUAAAUACUCCUCUGGAAUCCACUUCUGUAUAGCUCAAUCUGUAGAACAUGAGUCUCUUAAUCUCAGGGUUGCGGGUUCGAGUCCCACACUGGGCAAAAAGAUUCCUGCAUUGCAAGGGGCUUGGAUUAGACAACCCUCGUGAUCCCUUCCAACUCUACAAUGCUAUGAUUCUAUUAUUCUGGCUGAUUCUGUUUAACGUGUCUUUAUGCGUUUAAGCAAUAGGUGAGGCAAACUAGUUUGUUGAAUUUACUAUAGUUUCUAAAUUCCAGUUCAAUGCCUGGAAGCCCUGCUUAGACUAGAUAAUCUCCUAGUUGACAACAAGAAGAGUCAAACUAGCCAUGAUGUUAAUUGCAUGAAUGUCAUUAAGGUGCGCUUUGAUAUACAUAGCAGCUGCAGGGAGGCCUGGGAAGGCUCCAGACCCUGUGGGUGGGUGUAGAGGGGAAGCUUAACUCUUUCUCUGCCUGCCACAGUCCUUACAGGGAAAGGCCAUAGCUCAGUGGAGACCAUGUGCUUUGAGGGCAGAUGGUCUCUGGUUCAAUUCCCAGUAUCACCAGUUAGGGCUAGGAAUGUUCCCUACCUGAAACCCUGCAGAACUGCAGCCAGUCAGUGUAGACAAUACAUGGGUCAAUGGGCCAACUCAGUGUAAGGCAGUUUCCUAUGACAAAAUGACCCCUCCCAAUUUGUGACUAAAAUUUCAAGGGAUGGUCUCAUUUGCAGCACUGGGACCCCCACCCCUGCAACAAAAGGCCCCCCCAAAACCCCAUGUUAAUUAUGUUCAUGCAUUUAAUGUCAAAUCUUGUUUGACUCUGAGACUGUAAUCAUAUGCACACUUACAUUGGAAGCGUAAUUAAACACAGUGAAACUUCCAUGCAUAGGUUUGUGCUGUUCCAUGCACACUUACCAGGGAGUAAGUCCGAUCGAAAUCAAUAGGACGUGUUUCUGAAAGCAUGUUCAGUGUCAUGUGUUUGUGCUGCCUUCCUAGUUUCCAACAGAGGCAUAGAAGCCUUGCAGUGAAUUGCAGACUCAGUCUAGCGUAUCCUAGGAUAACACCAUCAGAAACUGUGUUCUAAGAAAAGCAAAUGAAGCAAAGAACAUUCAUUGCCAGAUAGGUGCUAAUUAAUAUUCCUGUGUAUUUUUUCCAAGAGCUGAUGAGGUAUCUUGAAAAGCUCCCUGAAACAGUGUUCCAUAUUUAUAAGCUUGCAAGUAUCUGAGUUGAUGGCAUCUAAAUAUACUUCUUGUAAUUAAAGCUCUGUGCUUAAUUUCCCAACAAACCAUGAACAUUUCCCUGUAAUAUAUACAUAUCCCAAGAGCUUUAAGGAGAGAUGAACCAAUACAGCCUGCUGGAAUCUGGGAACUUUUGUGGAACUCAACUCGUUUCACAUUUUAGGAGGACAAGCAUUGCCCAGGCUGCAGCUGUUGGGAAAGCAUGAUGUGUGCUUAGAAUGAGCAGAAGGAAGAAGACAGAGAAACGCUCUGAUCCAGUGAAGGUAAUGCAAAUACAGAAGGUGGCCAGUGGAAAAAGAUUCGCAGUUCCCAGCACCGAAUCUCAGCAUACAGUAGUGGGAAUGAAGGACGAGAAGUUUUUGACAUUGGGUUGGGCACUGUACAUGCAGCGGCAAACAUGUGGCUGGGGGCAGUAUCUGCUUUGACUGCACCAAGUUCCUGUCUAGGGAGGAAAACUAAAUCUGG